UACGAAGGGGGCUAGCGUUGCUCGGAAUUACUGGGCGUAAAGGGCGCGUAGGCGGCACUGUUAGUCAGGCGUGAAAGUCCUGGGCUCAACCUGGGAACUGCGCUUGAUACGGCAGAGCUAGAGGAUGGAAGAGGCUCGCGGAAUUCCCAGUGUAGUGGUGAAAUUCGUAGAUAUUGGGAAGAACACCGGUGGCGAAGGCGGCGAGCUGGUCCAUUACUGACGCUGAGGCGCGACAGCGUGGGGAGCAAACAGG
rnacentral:rRNA from 1 species